AUGAUCAGAGCUGCUUUAUGGGGUACAACGAGAGCAGACAGCCAUUCAGUGGACAAAACAACAUUAGAACUGAUGGGGUUCCCAACAAAAUGGGGUUCCCAAGGGGUUUUAAAUUGGGGUCUGAAGAAAAGCCUCUCCCGGUGUAGUCGGUGGAAACCAAAGACGAGCGAUCGUGGCCUUGGCUCAUUCCCAGACGCAAUGUGCAACAUGCUCCCAUUUACCCUUCUCCAACAGUCUGGACGCCAGCCGGACACAAAGGGCAGAUGUUGUGAUGCGGUGUGUUUCUUUGAUUUGUCACUGACCCCCAUAUGGAGUGCUGAAAGGAGACGGUGUAAUGAACACCAGCAGUACGAUGGAAGAGGAAAAGCUGAUCCUGCCCAGCCAUGGCAGUGGCAUAAAGCGUCAACCAGGUUUCCUGCUGAGUGGUGUCGUUACAUAAUAAAAGAUACAGUGACCCCUGCAAACUUUGCUGUGCCGGGGCCCCCUUUGCGGCUAUGGAGUUAACGUCCCAGCCUUGAAAAGAAAUAGUUCUCAGCUAUUAAAAUACCUCUGAAAAUGGGAUGCUUAUCAAAUAAUACGAACCAGAUUGCCCCGUUUUCCUUCUAGCCUGGCAGGGACUGUAUUUGAGAAGAUAUCUACACCUUUCAUGUCGCUUUUGAAGUCUUUGACAUUAUAUGGGCUUUGAGCGUCUGGGAAUGUUGCGUGGUUAUACAGACUCUGAGAAAGAGCGUUGGGUCGUUUCGGACCAAACCUUGUACGUGGUCCGAAAAGUUCAUUGCGUUCUUCCACGAUCAGCAAGGACAGUCUGCUAUCCCAUUUUUCCCAAUUGCUGUGGGUGUUUGCCAAAGUCACGCUCUGGUGACACACAGCUGUCCUUCCAGGGAUCAUGGAUGAGUCUUUUAUAAAAUGUUGCAGAAUAUCUUUGUAAUUUUCCAGCAUUAAAGGGUCCAGCUGAUUUAACUGCAGGCAAAACUCUGAGACUCUACCAGGCGUUCGAAUCUGCUCUGUCAAAGCCAGUUACCAUCACAGGCAGGUCUGCUACUUCAGACAGAUGUAUUUCCAUACAAGAUCAUUUCGGUUAAAAAUACAGUCCUCAAAAGCAGCCCAGGACAUGAGAGAGAGAGAGAGAGAGCAGCGUUUGGUGGAUGUUUAGGGGAAGGGAGGGCAGGUGGAGGUCAAUGCUUUUAAUAUUCUUCUGUAUGUGGGUGAGGGCAGCCGAGCUCCCAGAAGACUCUCAAAUGACAAUUUCAGGUGGAGAGUGUGUUUUUGUCUUAAAUGUGUGCCUUCUUUUCACCCGGACUGGCUGAUUGCAGCAAAGCCUAUGGUUCACAUCAAAAACUUUUACCCUUGACAAGAUACAAAGACUUUGAUCCAACUCUGACUUAAUGACAAUGGAUGGCAUGAUUGUAACGUAAUGCUCCUGCACAGAGAUGGAGAACCCGAGUGCAGCGGUUUUAUAUAACCAAACAACUGCUGAACACUAGGAUAAUCUAGCAUAACUCAGAAACAUAAACCAAGAUACUAUUACCAUAGACAUUGAAGUUAACCGUUACGGUUUACAUUUAAGACCAGACAAAGAAUAAAGACACUAGAACAAAAGCAUAUGUGGAGGAGAUUUUCUAAAUGUUUGGAUGACUUGCACUAUUACAAAGGCUUGUUUCUGGCAUGGG
rnacentral:lncRNA from 1 species